rnacentral:rRNA from 1 species
UUACAACUUUCAACAAUGGAUCUCUUGGCUCUGGCAUCGAUGAAGAACGCAGCGAAAUGCGAUAAGUAGUGUGAAUUGCAGAAUUCAGUGAAUCAUCGAAUCUUUGAACGCACAUUGCGCCCCUUGGUAUUCCAUGGGGCAUGCCUGUUCGAGCGUCAUC